CCCAAAAUUUUCAUGAGAAUAAAGUGGAGCAUUAGGGUGUUCCAUAGAGUUUGUUGGAUUAUUCUCUCAAAAAUAAUGGAUGCUACCCCCAUUCCCCACUAAUAUAUGUAAUUUCUUUUUUACGAAUAAAUUUUUUCUUCUUGAAUAUAGAUUAUGUUAGUUUUCUUUGAGACUGCACUCUUUUUCCCUUCACCUGAUUUAUCCUGUAGGAUUUAAAGGUAAGGUUUUUAAUGAGGCAUAGUUGUCAUUUGUUUUAGGUCCAAACUUGGAUGUCCUCCAAGUUUUGUAUUCUCAAUUUUAAUUUUAUGUUAUUGUGAGUUAGCUUGAUUUUUAAGUUGAUCGAAGGAUUUCAAACCAAUAUAUUUUAUUAGUUUAUGUUGUACUUAUGUGAUUAUGGAUGGCAGUUGGAGUAAGACUUAAAGGCCAAUAAGUUACUAUAUAGUAGAAAUUAGAAUUUUGAAAUAUUGAAUAGU
rnacentral:lncRNA from 1 species